UACGUAGGGUGCGAACGUUGUCCGGAAUUAUUGGGCGUAAAGGGCUCGUAGGCGGUUUGUCGCGUCGGGAGUGAAAACCCAGGGCUUAACCCUGGGCUGGCUUUCGAUACGGGCAGACUAGAGGUAUGCAGGGGAGAACGGAAUUCCUGGUGUAGCGGUGAAAUGCGCAGAUAUCAGGAGGAACACCGGUGGCGAAGGCGGUUCUCUGGGCAUUACCUGACGCUGAGGAGCGAAAGUGUGGGGAGCGAACAGG
rnacentral:rRNA from 1 species